rnacentral:piRNA from 1 species
UAACAUUUCGAAGCUGGAUGAGAUGGUUC